rnacentral:rRNA from 1 species
CAGCCGCCGCGGUAAUACGGAGGGUGCAAGCGUUAAUCGGAAUUACUGGGCGUAAAGCGCACGCAGGCGGUCUGUUAAGUCAGAUGUGAAAUCCCCGGGCUCAACCCGGGAACUGCAUUUGAAACUGGCAGGCUUGAGUCUUGUAGAGGGGGGUAGAAUUCCAGGUGUAGCGGUGAAAUGCGUAGAGAUCUGGAGGAAUACCGGUGGCGAAGGCGGCCCCCUGGACAAAGACUGACGCUCAGGUGCGAAAGCGUGGGGAGCAAACAGGAUUAGAUACCCGUGUAGUCCCUGUCUCUUAUAA